UUAAGCGACUAAGCGUACACGGUGGAUGCCCUGGCAGUCAGAGGCGAUGAAGGACGUGCUAAUCUGCGAUAAGCGUCGGUAAGGUGAUAUGAACCGUUAUAACCGGCGAUUUCCGAAUGGGGAAACCCAGUGUGAUUCGUCACACUAUCAUUACGUGAAUACAUAGCGUAAUGAAGCGAACCGGGGGAACUGAAACAUCUAAGUACCCCGAGGAAAAGAAAUCAACCGAGAUUCCCCCAGUAGCGGCGAGCGAACGGGGAGCAGCCCAGAGUCUGAAUCAGCUUGUGUGUUAGUGGAACGGUCUGGAAAGUCCGACGGUACAGGGUGAUAGUCCCGUACACCAAAAUGCACAGGUUGUGAACUCGAAGAGUAGGGCGGGACACGUGGUAUCCUGUCUGAAUAUGGGGGGACCAUCCUCCAAGGCUAAAUACUCCUGACUGACCGAUAGUGAACCAGUACCGUGAGGGAAAGGCGAAAAGAACCCCGGCGAGGGGAGUGAAAAAGAACCUGAAACCGUGUACGUACAAGCAGUGGGAGCACGCUUAGGCGUGUGACUGCGUACCUUUUGUAUAAUGGGUCAGCGACUUAUAUUCUGUAGCAAGGUUAACCGAAUAGGGGAGCCGAAGGGAAACCGAGUCUUAACUGGGCGUUAAGUUGCAGGGUAUAGACCCGAAACCCGGUGAUCUAGCCAUGGGCAGGUUGAAGGUUGGGUAACACUAACUGGAGGACCGAACCGACUAAUGUUGAAAAAUUAGCGGAUGACUUGUGGCUGGGGGUGAAAGGCCAAUCAAACCGGGAGAUAGCUGGUUCUCCCCGAAAGCUAUUUAGGUAGCGCCUCGUGAACUCAUCUCCGGGGGUAGAGCACUGUUUCGGCAAGGGGGUCAUCCCGACUUACCAACCCGAUGCAAACUGCGAAUACCGGAGAAUGUUAUCACGGGAGACACACGGCGGGUGCUAACGUCCGUCGUGAAGAGGGAAACAACCCAGACCGCCAGCUAAGGUCCCAAAGUCAUGGUUAAGUGGGAAACGAUGUGGGAAGGCCCAGACAGCCAGGAUGUUGGCUUAGAAGCAGCCAUCAUUUAAAGAAAGCGUAAUAGCUCACUGGUCGAGUCGGCCUGCGCGGAAGAUGUAACGGGGCUAAACCAUGCACCGAAGCUGCGGCAGCGACACUAUGUGUUGUUGGGUAGGGGAGCGUUCUGUAAGCCGUUGAAGGUGUAUCGUGAGGUAUGCUGGAGGUAUCAGAAGUGCGAAUGCUGACAUAAGUAACGAUAAUGCGGGUGAAAAACCCGCACGCCGGAAGACCAAGGGUUCCUGUCCAACGUUAAUCGGGGCAGGGUGAGUCGACCCCUAAGGCGAGGCCGAAAGGCGUAGUCGAUGGGAAACAGGUUAAUAUUCCUGUACUUGGUGUUACUGCGAAGGGGGGACGGAGAAGGCUAUGUUAGCCGGGCGACGGUUGUCCCGGUUUAAGCAUGUAGGCGGAGGUUCCAGGUAAAUCCGGUACCUUUUUAACGCUGAGGUGUGAUGACGAGGCACUACGGUGCUGAAGUAACAAAUGCCCUGCUUCCAGGAAAAGCCUCUAAGCAUCAGGUAACACAAAAUCGUACCCCAAACCGACACAGGUGGUCAGGUAGAGAAUACCAAGGCGCUUGAGAGAACUCGGGUGAAGGAACUAGGCAAAAUGGUGCCGUAACUUCGGGAGAAGGCACGCUGAUAUGUAGGUGAAGUGAUUUACUCAUGGAGCUGAAAUCAGUCGAAGAUACCAGCUGGCUGCAACUGUUUAUUAAAAACACAGCACUGUGCAAACACGAAAGUGGACGUAUACGGUGUGACGCCUGCCCGGUGCCGGAAGGUUAAUUGAUGGGGUUAUCCGUAAGGAGAAGCUCUUGAUCGAAGCCCCGGUAAACGGCGGCCGUAACUAUAACGGUCCUAAGGUAGCGAAAUUCCUUGUCGGGUAAGUUCCGACCUG
rnacentral:rRNA from 1 species